ACAGGAGGGCCUGAAACACCGCUGGCAACAGAGCAGGGCAGCAAGCAAGCUCAGGCUGGUGC
rnacentral:SRP_RNA from 1 species